rnacentral:rRNA from 1 species
ACCUGCGGAAGGAUCAUUACUGUGGGUCUUCUUCGAAGCCCGCGAGAUAGCACCCUUUGCCUUUUGAGUACCUCUUGUUUCCUCGGCAGGCCCGCCUGCCACGGGGACCCAACCAACCCUUUGCAGUUGUACGAAACGUCUGAACACUAUAAUAGUAACAACUUUCAACAAUGGAUCUCUUGGUUCUGGCAUCGAUGAAGAACGCAGCGAAAUGCGAUAAGUAGUGUGAAUUGCAGAAUUCAGUGAAUCAUCGAAUCUUUGAACGCACAUUGCGCUCUGUGGUAUUCCACAGAGCAUGCCUGUUCGAGCGUCAUUCAAACCCUCAAGCUCUGCUUGGUGUUGGGUGCUGUCCCGCCUGCGCGCGCGGACUCGCCUGAAACGUAUUGGCAGCCAGGUGCCUUGGCUUGGAGCGCAGCAGAAUCAGCGCGCCGGCCAGGGGCCGCGGCGUCCACAAGCCUGUCUACCACGCUUGACCUCGGAUCAGGUAGGGAUACCCGCUGAACUUAAGCAUAUCAAUA